AUUGAACGCUGGCGGCAUGCUUUACACAUGCAAGUCGAACGGUAACAGGCCUUCGGGUGCUGACGAGUGGCGAACGGGUGAGUAAUGCAUCGGAACGUGCCCAAUCGUGGGGGAUAACGUAGCGAAAGUUACGCUAAUACCGCAUAAGCCCUGAGGGGGAAAGUGGGGGACCGCAAGGCCUCACGCGAAUGGAGCGGCCGAUGUCAGAUUAGCUAGUUGGUGGGGUAAAGCCCACCAAGGCGACGAUCUGUAGCGGGUCUGAGAGGAUGAUCCGCCACACUGGGACUGAGACACGGCCCAGACUCCUACGGGAGGCAGCAGUGGGGAAUUUUGGACAAUGGGCGCAAGCCUGAUCCAGCCAUGCCGCGUGCGGGACGAA
rnacentral:rRNA from 1 species